rnacentral:rRNA from 1 species
UACGUAGGGUGCAAGCGUUAAUCGGAAUUACUGGGCGUAAAGCGUGCGCAGGCGGUUUUGUAAGUCUGUCGUGAAAGCCCCGGGCUCAACCUGGGAAUUGCGAUGGAUACUGCUUUGCUUGAGUACUGGAGAGGAGACUGGAAUUUACGGUGUAGCAGUGAAAUGCGUAGAGAUCGUAAGGAAGGCCAGUGGCGAAGGCGAGUCUCUGGACAGUUACUGACGCUGAGGCACGAAGGCCAGGGGAGCAAACGGG